UACGUAGGGUGCAAGCGUUGUCCGGAAUUAUUGGGCGUAAAGAGCUCGUAGGCGGUUUGUCGCGUCUGCUGUGAAAACCCGAGGCUCAACCUCGGGCCUGCAGUGGGUACGGGCAGACUAGAGUGCGGUAGGGGAGAUUGGAAUUCCUGGUGUAGCGGUGGAAUGCGCAGAUAUCAGGAGGAACACCGAUGGCGAAGGCAGAUCUCUGGGCCGCAACUGACACUGAGGCACGAAAGCGUGGGGAGCAAACAGG
rnacentral:rRNA from 1 species